UUAAUAUGGCAGAAAAGUGCAAUAGAUUUAAACCCUAUAUAUAAAGUUUUUAAAAUCUUUUAUUAAA
rnacentral:tRNA from 1 species